UACGUAGGUGGCAAGCGUUGUCCGGAUUUAUUGGGUUUAAAGGGUGCGUAGGCGGCUCCGUAAGUCAGUGCUGAAAUAUCCCGGCUUAACCGGGAGGGUGGCAUUGAUACUGUGGAGCUUGAGUGUAGUCGAGGUAGGCGGAAUUGACGGUGUAGCGGUGAAAUGCUUAGAUAUCGUCAAGAACACCGAUAGUGUAGACAGCUUACUAGGCUACAACUGACGCUGAGGCACGAAAGUGUGGGGAUCAAACAGG
rnacentral:rRNA from 1 species